UACGUAGGGGGCUAGCGUUGUCCGGAAUCAUUGGGCGUAAAGAGCGUGUAGGCGGUCCGGUAAGUCUGGGGUGAAAUCCCGGAGCUCAACUCCGGAACUGCCCUUGAAACUGCAGUGCUAGAAUUCUGGAGAGGCGAGUGGAAUUCCGAGUGUAGAGGUGAAAUUCGUAGAUAUUCGGAAGAACACCAGUGGCGAAGGCGACUCGCUGGACAGACAUUGACGCUGAGGUGCGAAAGCCAGGGGAGCAAACGGG
rnacentral:rRNA from 1 species